rnacentral:rRNA from 1 species
UACGGGGGGAGCAAGCGUUGUUCGGAUUUACUGGGCGUAAAGGGCGCGUAGGCGGUCGUGACAAGUCACUUGUGAAAUCUCCGGGCUUAACUCGGAACGGUCAAGUGAUACUGUCGGACUAGAGUACAGAAGGGGCAACUGGAAUUCUCGGUGUAGCGGUGAAAUGCGUAGAUAUCAGGAGGAACACCUGUGGUGUAGACAGCUUGCUGGACCAUAACUGACGCUGAGGCACGAAAGCGUGGGUAGCAAACAGG